GGAUGUGAGGGUGAUCAAGCUGUGACAUCUGCCGUCCUAUUGAUUGAUCACCAGUGUUAAUUCUGCAGUUCUGGCUGGCGAGAAGGGUGUCUGCUUCCUUCUUCAACUCUCCACGUGCGUCCGUCUUGAAGCUCAGCGCUCGGUGGAGGAGGACGACCACCCCAGAUAGAGGAGGAUCAUUCCUCCGUUAAGGGUGUACGAAUAGCUGCGCUCCCCUGCUAGAACCUCCAAACCCUCUCAAGAGAUAAAUUUGCAAAUGUAACACUUUGAAGAUGGUUAGGUGAUUGUUUUUACAUUUUGAAAAUGCAUGGAAAUAUGCCAAUUGCAAGCAUAA
rnacentral:snRNA from 1 species